GAGGACUCGUCGCAUUCUAAAAGCCCGUUUUGAUUUUCCACCGCGCUUCGUCAUGGACCCGCAGAGGAAAAGCUACGAUAGAUGGACCGACGGCGAGGUGCAGGCUCUGCUGAGCAUUGUGGGCGAGGACGACGAGUUCGAAGGUUUUUAUUAAGAGAAGGGGUCGGGCGUCACGUGCCGAGCGCUGCCAGAGCCGAAUGCUGCGGUGAACUGCCGACAACUGGGGACCGGUGCGGGACCAACUCUUCAUCCCCAGUUUACUCGCCGCCGCGGGGGCUCCCGAACCAGAUAAGCCGCCAGCUGGGUUAAAGAGCAGCACAAAGGGGCCUGGGCACUGAGGAAGCUGAUGAAGGAAAUCGUUUUGAAUGCGAGGGGCUGGACUACUACUGCAGUCCUAUUGUCGGCCAUCUGAGCUUGGGGCGAGUGUUUUCCAGCCAAUUAUGUGCAUCAGGGAUCCUUGAGCAACUGCUGGAUGCUCUCAGUCGAGGAAGGUGUUGGCGUCGACGCUGGGGCGGUUUGCGAUGAUUAACCAUUUUCAAGACAGACCGCAAAGGUUGCUUUCCCAUAUAUUGAUCUGUUGUUGUUUUUUAAAGCCACACGUGGUAGACUAUACGUACUACCUUUGUGCCAUGAUUCUUUACUGUGGAAUUCCAGCUACUAUACUUGUUAUAUGGAUCAUCUAAUAAUGUGAUUUAGAUGUCUCUGAUACAGUUAAUUAACAAGAUUUAAAUGUUCUGUAAUUAGUAUAGUUGUCUAUAUACAGUAUAGGUAUGAUAUUGUCCAUUAUUAUGCAGUUUUAAAUAAAGCGCAGAAGAGGUGACACGAGCGCAUAGUGGGAAAUAAAACACAUCAUUGAGUUGUUUGUCUUAGUAGCUAAAAAUGCAUUUGUACCGUGAUGUGUAUGAUCCAUAAAUCAUUAUUUGCAGCAUUUCCCUGCAAUUAUGAGAUGAAUUCACUUCAGCUACACUUUGAGACGUGUGAAAGGAAUGAUGACUUUGCCAAUUAGGGCGAUCUUCCUAUCAGCCGUUUUAUCUGUUUUG